rnacentral:misc_RNA from 1 species
GUUUUUUCAGUGGUAUGAUUCUUGCAAUUAUUUGAUAAGAACAAGAUUUUCCUCAUCAAUAAAGACGGCUAUAAGCAUUAGACGAUGUUAUCAAUCCAACUAUUAUUAGUAUCUUUCAACAUUAUUGUCUGAUACAAAAAUAAUAAUAGAAUAAGCAUAGCAGCCAUGACCAUUUGACUAUGACUUCAGGACAAUCUGCUCAGCUAUUUCGAUCAUCCUUAGCUUGAGGGAAACAUCUGCAAAGAAAUAAUAUCUCUAAUCUCAUAAAAAUUAAGGUGUUUACCACAUUGAAAUCUACAAUGAGCGAAAUGAUCAAUGCGGACUUUUUGUAAUCAUUUCCUGAAACCAAACCACUUUGCCAGGAAGAACUUAUUCUUUCCUCGAGUGGCAUCAGAAUUUGCUUGCACAGUUGCUGCUGGUUUUGGUUUGUCUCUGUUGGGAUUUGCAUUUUUCACAUCCUUAGACUUCUUAUCUGAAUUUUGUACAAUGGCUUCAUUGUUAUGGACAGAAGUUGACUUAGCCUCCGCUUCCUUGUGCUCCAUCUGUGCCGUGCUGUGGAGACCACUCUCACUAGGGGGCUUUCCAUAGUUGUACCGCAAAGCCUCAAGGAAGGAACUGUCCCUUUGAUGUUGCAUUAAUUGAUCAAAAAGGGCAUUUCGAUAAUUGGGGACUGAACCAACUUGUAGCAACUGAACUGCCUCUGCGUCUCUUGUCAUUGACAAUUUAGUAGAUGCAUUCAAAUUUUGUGUAUCUAAAAGGAUACCUGCAAGCAAAAGCUUUUUGAGCACUGGGGUUUGAAGCAGAUCAUAAGCAUCUUCACAGUAAUUAUCUGUAAGAAUAGUGCACUGAGAUCCAACCUCAUUAUCAUUUUUCAGUAUAUCUUGUCCAACCACAAGGAUGGUUAAUUUCCCUGCCAAAAUUAGACUCUCCAAAUCCACCUCAUCAGCAAAGAGCAAUGAGGUAGCCUCAAGGCCAACGUGAUGGAAGAGCCAUGCUGCCUGCCUUUGCUUCCACAUUGUGCCUCUCCUUACAUUCAUCACCGGCACCACUACAUAACCAUCUCCACCUCCCUCUCCUUUAUUCUUAAUGAACCUAUUCUCCAACAACCAUGCAUAGCAAAUUGCCGCUACCAUUGAACUUGUACCUGUGUUUGAAGGGCCAGAAAGGAUAACUUUGGCCUUCGAAUCAAUCUCCCCAUUCAGAAUCUUCUCAAUCUCGAUUCUUUGGUUCUUAAGGAACCCAUUCAGACUAACUUCUCGUUCGCCCUCCUCUUCAUUCUGCUGCCACCCAUUUACAUUAGGCUUUGGUGCAAUUUUCUCAAUGGAACACGUCGACCUCGCAAUUGACCUUCUAUGAGCAGACUCUACGACAUUCCUUGGUGGAGACAGGAGCUGUUUCUCCGGUUGGGAACAUGUUGAGGAUGAUAUUGAUCUCCGGUGAGCUGACUCAAUGAGAUUUUUUGGAGGAGAGAGCAUCUGGGUCUCAGGUAAUGGGGCUGGCUUGAAAGUUCUGCUUGAGGGUACUGGUACUCCUUGGGAAGGUGGCUCAGUUUGGAAGCGGGACUUGCGGUAGGUUGGCUGCCAAGGCUGCACUGUUAGGGCCAUUGGAUCAAUGGAAUGGGUGGGAGAGUCGUUGGGUUGGUGGGAUUGAGGAUUGGAGGGUUUGAGCAUGUUUGAAAACCACUGUUGAACCUGUGAUGCAGGGGAUGGCUCUGAGGGAGAGCUAGGCAUGCUAUCUAAUGAUUCUGAUUUAUUACGGCUGUGCUUUGCUGAUUUUGUAAGUAUCUCUCCACUGAAGCCUUCUAAUGCUCUGUGCCUGUGGAGAAAUACUUAAAAGUUGGAUAAUUCUUAAUUUCACAAUAAAAUGUAUGUGUACAUCACGAAAACGUACCUUCUAGCAGACCUAGAGAGAGGAUCCCUCCUAUCAAGUAAUGAAGAUGAGGAAAACCUGCCAGGAAUGGCCGCGAACCUUGGUGACCCAACGAGCCUGGAAGGCGAGUCACAGCGCGAAGGAGAUGACGCCACCAUCCGUCUGGCCUCUUCUAGCCACUCCUCGGUUAACCUGCUGCUGUUGCUCCUGGUGCUGUCAUCGAAGCUUCCUUCUUCGUCCUCCAAGCGACUCCCAGUCAAGUUAUAAGCUUUCUUAUCAUUGUGCACAGUUCCAAAGAACAUGUCAUUCAUGAAAUCUGUGAGGUCCAGUGCUUGUUGAGUUUUGCUUGGUGGGCGAGAUUCUACUGGCUUCUUUUGCAGAGUGAUAGAGCCUCUCGAGGACUUCCUGCUCAAUCUCCUUUCCAUCAUUGUAUCAGGAAGAUGCAGAGAGAAGGAUGUUUGAUUUUGGUCAAGAAGACGAGGAGAUUAAUGUACAUUGACGUAUCUGUUUUGUUGAUGAAUUGAUUCAUUGAGAAUAUCAGCAAGGGAAGAAUGUUGGCCGGCUGCCGGUGGGAAUGUCUUUUUCCUUGUAAAGCUUGUACAAGCAAUCUAUUCCUAGGCAGUUCCUUGUUGGUAUUUUCAAGAAUUUGUUGGCAAAACAAUCGCAUUACAAUGCUUUAGCAACUAUGCAACCGCGUAUAUAUUUAUGGAAAUUACGUCAAAGUAUCACAUGUUUU